CGGGAGACCGCGGCACUGCUGUCACCCCGGGGGCCCGCUUCUCACUGCAACCGGAUGAGAGACUUAAAUAACCCUCCUGCCUCACCCUCCUCCCCGCCCCCACUGCGCACAGCCACCCACUCAGCUCCAUCCAAGCGAGGCAUGGAGGGGAGACGACCCAGGGACAUCUACCAAGGUUCCGCGGAGGCUGCGUGGUGAACAAGGGAGAAAAACCACCCCAGUCCCACGCCUGAAUCUUCCUCACCUUCAUUAAACUGGCAUCACCUACAGUCCCAGGAAGCUAAACAUAGAGUUUAGAUCGUACUCAACAUCUGGCAUUAAAACACAAGGAAGAAAAAUCCGCACAGGACUUUGUUUUUUACGACCUAGUUUAAGUGUUGUCAGGAAGGAAAAAAACCCAGCGCUCCCCAUCGGGACUCAGUUACUUGACUUCACGCUGUCGGGUCUAAGGCUGCUCCAGCAGACACGUGUGUGCGGGCAUUUACAAGUAGAUGGAGUCGCCAGCCCUCGAGUCUGCAGCCCUCAAUGCUGAGUCACAAAUACCGUCCUUUGAAAAUGAAAUCCUCGGAAUGCCCUUUAAAAUUAGCUCACAGCUUUUGCACGCGCGCGAGAACACACACACACACACACACACAUCAGAGACCCACUCAGGAAGCCCACGCAGCGCUGAACACUACAGGAAUUAAAAGGCAGAGGUUAUAACUGGAUCGCUGGAAGGACAAACCCCUUCAGAAGUCCUUUUCCCCCAAGCCCUGAGCCCGUGCUGCUCGCUGAGACUAAAAUAUGACUUUACUCCUUCUCCCAACAGAACAAUCAGUCAGCGACCUUCGCCUACGGGAUGGGAAUAAACAAUACGCUUAAUUUACAAUUCAAGCAGUACUUAAUAGGCGAAAAGAAGAAGAGGGUAAAAAUUUUGGCACAUGAUUGUAACCACUGCCUUCAGGAAAGUGAAUGCAUUUUUUAAGUUUUUAGUAGGUAAUGAUUAAAGCGUAAAACUCAUGGAAUCAGUCCAUUCAAAAGAAACUUUCUAA